AAGUGUUGGGAAACCUAAACUCCUUUCUUUAGUUGCUGCCGCCUUCUCUCACUCUCACUUUCCUUCUCUUUUCUUUGUUUUCAUUCAUUUUUUAUAGCCUCAUCUGCCGUUAGGAAUUACCGAAGAGACCUAAACGGAUGAAGACCGAAGACCAAUGACCCAAUUCCACUGUUUUCUUUCGGUAAUCCUAGGAAACCUCGACUCCGACGAUGAGCACUCACAUAACAAGGUUUCCAGAGGACACAACCUAUUCUUGGCGACGCCUGGAUAUGGAUUUCUCUUCUCCUGCCAACGAGACCUUCAAAGGCACAGACGGAAGCCAUGAAGAUCUCCACUCGAUGACAAACAAUAACCCAUGAGAUUUGUUGAAUUGGCCAACUUUGAUGAUGAUGACAACUUCUAGAAGCAUUCGACGUUGGCUUGUUUUUGGUGAUAGAGGAGGCUUAGCUGGUUAUCAUUUAGGGUUGAGAAACCCUAACCCUUAAGUGAUUUGGGUUAGGUUUGUUGUAGCCCAUUAUUGGAUCUGGGAUUGUUUUAGGCUUGA